UCUCGGCCCAAAGGCAGUGAGUUAUCUCAAUUGAUUGCUCACAGUCAGUUACAGAUUUAAGGCCUUGUUCCACUCUUUCUCCUCUUCUCACCGCUGCACUUGACUAAUCUUAA
ensembl:misc_RNA Y_RNA Y RNA